rnacentral:tRNA from 1 species
ACCAAAAAUGAAGUCUAAACCCUUCUUAGAGCA